rnacentral:rRNA from 1 species
UACCAGCACCCCGAGUGGUCGGGACGAUUAUUGGGCCUAAAGCAUCCGUAGCCGGCCUUACAAGUCCUCCGUUAAAUCCAGCUGCUUAACAGAUGGGCUGCGGAGGAUACUAUAAGACUAGGAGGCAGGAGAGGCAAGCGGUACUCAGUGGGUAGGGGUAAAAUCCUUUGAUCCAUUGAAGACCACCAGUGGCGAAGGCGGCUUGCCAGAACGCGCUCGACGGUGAGGGAUGAAAGCUGGGGGAGCAAACCGG